AGUGAACGCUGGCGGUAGGCCUAACACAUGCAAGUCGAACGGCAGCACAGUAAGAGCUUGCUCUUACGGGUGGCGAGUGGCGGACGGGUGAGGAAUACAUCGCAAUCUACUUUUUCUUGGGGGAUAACGUAGGGAAACUUACGCUAAUACCGCAUACGACCUACGGGUGAAAGCAGGGGAUCUUCGGACCUUGCGCGAUUGAAUGAGCCGAUGUCGGAUUAGCUAGUUGGCGGGGUAAAGGCCCACCAAGGCGACGAUCCGUAGCUGGUCUGAGAGGAUGAUCAGCCACACUGGAACUGAGACACGGUCCAGACUCCUACGGGAGGCAGCAGUGGGGAAUAUUGGACAAUGGGCGCAAGCCUGAUCCAGCCAUACCGCGUGGGUGAAGAAGGCCUUCGGGUUGUAAAGCCCUUUUGUUGGGAAAGAAAAGCAGCAGGUUAAUACCCCGCUGUUCUGACGGUACCCAAAGAAUAAGCACCGGCUAACUUCGUG
rnacentral:rRNA from 1 species